ACUCCCCAAUUCUAUUCGGGAGUCAUCUCUUUCCCCACCGAGCGAAACCGUUCUGCGCCGCCAUCCCUACCAGGACACCCUUCCGAAGACGUUCCUGCCGGACAGCCGGAGGCUAUUUGGCCCUCAUCCACAAGCACGCGCAGCUCCGAUCUGUAGUGGCUUCGUUAGAAGGAAACAUCCGCCAGGUCGAUCCAUGAUAUCCAGUGAGGGCAUCAUCCUCGUGCCCAGACCAGUGAACCGCGUUGGCGAUCUCGUCGAUCUGCAACACGUCAAUGACCACCAGCAGCCUUGUGGACGAACAACAGCGACCCUGAUCCCUGGAUCUCGAGCUCGUCCCCCUUCAAUUUUAACAACCUCCUCCGCCCAAAGGUGCCAUGGACUCGCCCCCCAAUAAUUUCUUUAUUGUAGAUCCAAUAAUUUAUCUGGUAUUUUCUUUUCAUGUUACUGCACCUUUCCUCAGUUUAUUCUCUAUCCGAUAAAUGAGAUUUGGGAUAGCUCUGUGUGCAAACUGUCGUGGUACAGUAGAUGGGAAUGAUCUGAUAAAUUUUGUCUCUGAUAAUUCAUGUUUUUAUGUGGUUAGAUUCAUUUACAUUGGUAUAACUAAAUAUCUUUUGCUUUAGAUAGUGUCCCAAGUCUACUUGGAUAUUCAGAAUUCAGAUUAUGUAUACCUAAUUUCUCUUAACUGAACUUUGUGUGUGACAGAAUCUAAUUAGUACUACUUCUAAACUGCGUGCCCAUAUUUUGCACAGCUUGUACGUAGUAUCUGUCCCUUCUUUCAUAAUAUAUGUUUGUUCUUUUUCCAAUCUAUGUCUAUUACCAUUUUUCUAUUUUAGGAUGCUAAGGCGUGUUAGCAUAGGAUCUAGGGGAGAAACAAGAUCCGGUUCAGGUGGAUGAAGAAACAGUGUGUUGUGUGUAGGCAAUAUCCUGGUAGGCUAAGAAACCCCAAAUGCAUGGAGGAAGCUAGAAGAACUGCGCUCUUGUGAUGAAGAUUAGAUUAAGAAGUCAUAAGAAGGAAGUGCAAGGAGAAGAUGAAAAACACUUGGCCACAGCUAGCAAAAUGCCUCGUUAGUCCAAUGUAAGAAAAUGUCGGUAUGUUGCUUGCUCAAAGGUCUCAUGCACAUGUUUGAGUGUUGUUUUUUUCAGAUUAAGUUUGUUGUCUCACUAUUCCAAGCAUAGUGUUCAUGCUGUUUCAUUUCGCACUAAUUAAAUGCUUCAGUUAUUUAUGCCUUCGGUUUUAUUUGGUUAAAUAAAUUUUAGAGGAUUUACUAAGAUGAUCUUGAAUUUUGCAGUCCAUGCAAUUUCAUAAUGUUGUUAGAGAUCCAUCUACAGCUGGUCAGUAUUACUAUCUUCUCUUUCAGUUUUAAACCAUCUCAUCGUAAUUGUUUAUGUCUCCUUCAUGUUAAUACUCGGCCUCCAGUGUGACUUGGCUUAAAGCAACGAAGAAUAUACAUAGUAGAGACUCAAAACCUAAUUAUUCUUUGGUACUUCUGUUAGCUAUACUAUGCAGAGAACCAUUUUUUGAAUAUUCAUAAUCCUAUAUUUUGCUUACUGCUUCCAAUUAAUUUUAUGUACCAAGUGGACUUAGUGCAAUUAUCUUACUGUAUAAUGCCUCACAAUGUCUGCCAUGGCACUUACCUAGAUGUAAUUACAUGCUAACUAAACUAUUUUUUUGUACUUGAACUGGAUAAUACAGGAAACAUGCUCAACAACUGGUCUUGCUCAAUGGGUGCUGCAAAUUUAGAAGUCUUUGUGAAAAUGACUUGUGGCGGGGUCUGCUGUGUGAGGAUCCAGAAGAUGCAAUUACUGUCUACCGUUGCUGCAGAUGGCCAAUCUCACUAAUAACUAAUAAGCAUUUGUGUGGCAGGGUUUGCUGGGUGAGGAUCCGCACGUUGCAAUUACUGUCUGCUUUUGAUGUAGGUAGCCAAACUCACUAUUAAGCACUUGUCAAUAUCAAUUGUCCGGGAAGGGAAAUGCAGGCAUGUUCUCUAUAAGGACUAGAAGAUCAGCGAGGAGUGAGGACAUAUUAUAUUUGGAUAUAUGGUCUGAACAUCUGAAGGAAGAAUAUUAGUAGGGAUAUAUUUAGGAGUGGUUAGAUUGUCAUAUUUUGAAUCAACAUUGUAAGCUGUGUGUACUCUUGGAAUGAUUUUCAUGUAUUCUGAUAAUGAUUCCAGUAAUAAAAAUUCAGUUGUUUCUUCA